rnacentral:rRNA from 1 species
CACUUUUGGGAUCGGAGGUAGGGGUAGCACGGGGAAGGGAAGCGAGAACGUCGGCGGCGUGAGGGCAAGCCAGAGGAGAGGGUAGCGGCUCGAGCGGAGACGGUGACGAGAGGGGCAGGGAGAGCGCGCCGGUGGGGAGGAGGAGGGACCUGUUCCGUCGUCGCUCACCGUCGUAUCCUCGUUCCGACCCCUGACCCAUCGUGCCAUGCUCCCAGUGCAACUCGUGCGGGGCCGCCGGAGACUAAGCAGGAGAGCUGGCCAUCGGUGGAGACGCGCACCCUGCUGGACACACAGCGGUGCAGUGGUCGCUGUGUCCCGGUUUCCGUUGCCGGCGCGGAGCGGUAGUGCCCCCCUCGUAGCCGGCGGCUCUGCCAGCAGGUGCAGUGGUGACAGCAACAGGAAGUCGUCCUAGCCGCCCAUCACUGUGAAAGCAGCACGUGUAGCGAACGACAGUUGAACCGGUGGACUGCCUCUACCUUCUCCAUGGUAGGUCGGAUACCUCCAGCUCGACGCCGCUCGUCGUCUCCUCCGCACGUUGACGACGGACCGGGCUCUGGAAGAAGUGUCGUCGUCGUGGUGGUGGUAGCAAUCUACGUCACUUCUGGUCAUCGACGCCCGCGGCAGUUGGUACUGGGUCACUUUGGUCGGUAGAGGCCGCUCGAGUGAGGGGACGUGGUCGUCUUCGUGGCGUUGCCGUUGACGUUGUAGUUAAAGAUGCCGCCACCAUCUACGGCAGCAUUCGCGGUGGUACAGUUUUUCGGUUCCUAACUUUGAUACACGUCACUUGGCUCGAAAAGGCUCUCCUGGUUCUGUUCUCCAUUGUGUGACGGAUCUCAUCAUUAUACGUGGUCGUAAACCUAGUAUUGUUGGAUAUCAACACUAGUCGGGAAUAAUAGACAUAAGUAGUCUUUUUACAUACAUAUAUAGUACGGACUAAAAACGGAAAGACGAAAAACCUAGUCAACAACCGUUAUAUUUUGACAUCUAGUUCCUUCACUUAUUAGAUACGUACCUUUUAUUUGUUUUCUCCCAGUAUAUCAGACUUUUUUUUAUCGAACAUAAAAGAGGCUGUCGUACCCACCGUCCCAUUAAAUCAUAUUUAUUCUCUUUUACCAUCAAGUAUUCCACAUCACUGAACAGGAUAUUAAAUAGAGAACAGUAGUUUGUGUACAAAGAGUGAAGACAUGAGCUAUGUGUCCUAGUACACAGGUCAUUCACUUAUGACAGAUGAUGGCUAGUAUAGAUGAAUAUACAAACGAAACGUAAAGGUACACCGAAACGUGUUACAGACGACGUCCCAAUCGAUUUUACUUUGGUACACACCAUGCCGACCAGCGUACGAACGCAAGUGAGCCGUCCUCCUCGUGGUGGGAAGAGUGCGUGGAGACUCCCCGCCGGUCGUGUAGGUAAGGGAUCUCACCAGGUGAGGCCGAGAGUCGAGACAAGGGGUUGCCGCACGGCGGAGAUCCUUGCGGUGGAACCUCUACCAGCCUCGAGACCGCGGAGGUUGAGAUAGGGGGUAGAAAUGAGGCAGGUCAAAGUGGAGAGAGAGAGAGAGAGAGAGAGAGAGAGAGAGAGAGAGAGAGAGAGAGAGAGACUACUUUUGUAGUAAAAUAAGACCGGCCUACGAUUUCCAUACACUACUACGUCGUUCAAGACCUAAACACGAACCUCCGUUUGAGUCGGCUCCCUGGAAAAGUGCCAAAUUUAGUUUUACCACACGACUUCUCUUUUUGGAAUGAAAGCUUUCUCUAAUUUUACCUUAGACGAACCUGAUACAACUGGUAUGUCCAAACUAAGUAUAUAUCAGACUUCAACCGACAUGGACCUACCCAAUGUCAAACGAAGAAAGUUUUUCUGCUCCACAAGAGAGAUUUUGUUAGACAUCGACCUAAACAUCUAUCAAAAAAUACAAAGACAUGUAAUUGUACUAGAGUUUGUUAAGAACCCGGUAUCCUAACAGCAGUACAUACAAUAAAUCAAUAUAUCUUUUUGUAUCGUAUCCUGUUACGACGAAGAUUUGGGUCGACAAUUUAAGUAGUGGCUUGUUAACUUAGGCGAAAGUCGGAUUGCAAGUUAGUUCUUUCUCAGUUAAUACACAUAGAUACUCGUGACAACAAUAAGAAAAAAUUCUACUCGAGAUGACAAGUGAACUAAGUAAUACAAGAUAUCCCUCUCCUUCGUUUACCCAACCCUACUAGACGUAACGGAGGUUAACGUGUUCUAAGUCCCUUAGUGGUAUCGACAUAAUACAAAAAGGUACUAUAGUCGUUACACUCAUAUAUAUAAAUAUAUAAAGGAAGAAUAAAUGAAAAAUCACUACGAACGACGUCAUAAUGUAUUGACUUACAACCAGGUUCUAACUAUUAAUACAACAGGUACUUCUUGUGUAGUAUAAGAAGUUGACUGGCUUGUUCAAUGAGUGUAGUCUAAGUACACUACACAGUACACUUCACAGCUUACUACUCUGCUAGUUCACUUCGAUAGAUUCUCAUACGAAUACACCUUGAUAUAUUCAAGGAAUAGAGCGACGGCGAUACCGAACGACAACGAUACAUUAUUCAUACUACAAACGUAGAGUGAAAUGAGCGAAAACCUUAUUUUAUAUAUAAACGUAAAGGGU